rnacentral:rRNA from 1 species
AUGGAGUUUGGACAGUUCCUUGCAUCACAUGGCAUUGAACAUCAAACUACAUGCGUAAAUACACCAGAACAGAAUGGUGUUGCAGAACGUAAGAAUAGGCAUUUACUUGAAGUUGCUCGUUCACUCAUGUUCACCAUGAAUGUCCCUAAGUUUCUUUGGGGGGAGGCAAUAAAAACAGCAACAUAUUUAAUAAAUCGUAUGCCUCUACGCACUCUUGAGUUUAAGACUCCAGCUGAGUGUCUUUUGAACACAAAUGAUUUUGUGGUCCCUCCAAAGGUAUUUGGUUGUGUUUCUUUUGUGCAUGAUUAUCGAAAUUCUGUUGGGAAAUUAGAUCCCCGUGCCAUCAAAUGUGUCUUUAUGGGCUAUUCUCCUUCUCAAAAGGGCUAUAGGUGUUGGUGUCCCUCUGAACGUCGGUUCUUUGUGAGUAUGGAUGUGACCUUUCGUGAACAUGAACCUUAUUAUCUUGGAUCAGCCAAUGACACUGGCAUUGCUCUAUCCCCACCUGAAGUAGGACAAGAGGGGGAGAGCAGUGGUGGAGGCACCCUUAUUGGAUCAAUACUUGUCCCUACUCCAGAUGCUUCUGCUCUUGAUAAUAAUAUUCCUAGACAUGGGGAAGAGAUAAAUCAUGAGGAGAGUAACAAUUCUGGUCAUGGAGACAUGCAAGAUGCAACAGGAGAUUCAUUAUCACCUUCACAGAAUGUUGAUCACUCUGCACAUGAUGACCCAGGUACUGAUGAUCACUCUCCUAGUCCUAUUGCUCCUACUAGAACCAUGGGUGAGAGUGAUAACCAAUUGUCGACAUCUGUUCCGCGAGGUAAUUUACCCAUUGCCUUGAGAAAACCAACUAGAACCUUAAAUCUUCCCCCACACCUAAAAGACUACGACGUUGGUUAUAAACACAACAUAGCCAAUUUCAUCUCCUACAAACAUUGUAACCCAUCCUUUCAGAGCUUCAUUACAUCUCUAGAUUCCACAUCCAUACCUAAUAAUUGGGACACAGCCAAGGAGGAUCCAAAGUGGAGGGAAGCAAUGCUUGAAGAGAUGCGAGCUUUGGAAAAGAACAAAACCUGGGAGCUUGUGGAUCUACCACCAGGUAAACAACCUGUAGGUUGCAAGUGGGUUUUCAACAUUAAGCAUACCCCAGAGGGUAAAGUGGAUAGAUAUAAAGCUCGCCUUGUGGCAAAGGGAUAUACCCAAACAUAUGGAAUUGAUUAUGAGGAAACAUUUGCACCUGUAGCAAAAAUGAAUUCUGUUAGAACACUCAUAUCAUGUGCAGCAAACUUGAAUUGGAACAUUCACCAGAUGGAUGUAAAAAAUGCCUUUCUUCAUGGCGACCUUCAAGAAGAAGUGUAUAUGGAGAUCCCACCAGGGUUUGAGUCUGGCUAUGUUACUAGGAAGGUACUUCGCUUACGUCGCUCCUUGUACGGGCUCAAACAAUCGCCAAGGGCCUGGUUUGAUAGGUUUCGGCGUGCUAUGUUGAGAAUUGGGUACACUCAGAGCAAUGCAGACCACACCAUGUUUUACAAACGCAGAAUGAGCAAGGUUGUCGUCCUCAUUGUAUAUGUGGAUGACAUUGUUAUCACAGGUGAUGACCAAGAGGAAAUUAUUCACUUAAAACAUCAUCUUGCGCAAGAAUUUGAAGUCAAGGAUUUGGGACACUUGAGAUAUUUUCUUGGGAUAGAAGUAUCUAGAGGACCAAAAGGUAUUUUCCUUUCCCAAAGAAAAUAUGUCCUAGACCUACUACAAGAGGCAGGUAUGCUUGGGUGUCGUCCAGCUGCAACCCCAAUUGAGCAAAACCAUCGCCUGUUGAGUGAUUCAGGAAAACCCGUGGACCGUGAAUGCUAUCAAAGAUUAGUCGGUAAGCUCAUUUACCUGUCUCAUACUCGACCAGAUAUUGCGUUUGCUGUUAGUGUAGUGAGCCAAUUCAUGCAUGACCCAAGAUCAUCUCAUAUGGAUGCCGUGACUCGAAUCCUACGUUAUUUGAAGGGGUGUCCAGGAAAGGGUUUACUGUACAGUCAUCAGGGAAACCUCCAGGUUGAGUGUUAUACUGAUGCAGAUUGGGCAGGCUCACUGGAUGAUCGACGAUCAACAUCUGGGUACUGUACCUUCGUUGGUGGGAAUUUAGUUUCAUGGCGCAGCAAGAAGCAAACUGUUGUGGCUAGAUCCACGGCAGAAGCUGAGUUUCGAUCCAUGGCACAUGGUGUAUGUGAAGUAUUAUGGUUAAAGAUUUUACUGAUAGAACUAGGGUUGUUCAAGGAAUCACCACUAAUGCUAUACUGUGAUAACAAGGCCGCCAUAGAUAUUGCAAAUAACCCAGUGCAACAUGAUAGAACCAAACAUGUGGAAAUUGAUCGUCACUUCAUCAAAGAGAAAUUGGAUAGAGGGAUAAUAUGUAUGCCUUAUGUAAGUUCAUCUAGUCAAGUAGCGGAUAUACUUACAAAAGGUCUACCUGAGAAAUCAUUCUCUAUUUUCUGUAGCAAGAUGGGUCUGUAUGAUAUAUUCACCCCAUCUUGA